AGUGAACGCUGGCGAUAGGCCUAACACAUGCAAGUCGAACGGCAGCACAGUAAGAGCUUGCUCUUACGGGUGGCGAGUGGCGGACGGGUGAGGAAUACAUCGGAAUCUACUUUUUCGUGGGGGAUAACGUAGGGAAACUUACGCUAAUACCGCAUACGACCUACGGGUGAAAGCAGUGGAUCUUCGGACCUUGCGCGAUUGAAUGAGCCGAUGUCGGAUUAGCUAGUUGGCGGGGUAAAGGCCCACCAAGGCGACGAUCCGUAGCUGGUCUGAGAGGAUGAUCAGCCACACUGGAACUGAGACACGGUCCAGACUCCUACGGGAGGCAGCAGUGGGGAAUAUUGGGCAAUGGGCGCAAGCCUGAUCCAGCCAUACCGCGUGGGUGAAGAAGGCCUUCGGGUUGUAAAGCCCUUUUGUUGGGAAAGAAAAGCAGCAGGUUAAUACCCCGCUGUUCUGACGGUACCCAAAGAAUAAGCACCGGCUAACUUCGUG
rnacentral:rRNA from 1 species